rnacentral:rRNA from 2 species
GGUCAAGCGAACAAGUGCAUGUGGUGGAUGCCUUGGCGAUCACAGGCGAUGAAGGACGCGGUAGCCUGCGAAAAGCUACGGGGAGCUGGCAAACAAGCUUUGAUCCGUAGAUGUCCGAAUGGGGAAACCCACUCCUUUUGGAGUAUCCAUGGCUGAAUACAUAGGCCAUGUGAAGCGAACGCGGUGAACUGAAACAUCUAAGUAACCGCAGGAAAAGAAAUCAACCGAGAUUCCCAAAGUAGUGGCGAGCGAAAUGGGAUGAGCCUUGCACUCUUUAUUUGUAUUGUUAGCCGAACGCUCUGGAAAGUGCGGCCAUAGCAGGUGAUAGCCCUGUAGGCGAAAACAGUAUGAAAGAACUAGGUGUGCGACAAGUAGGGCGGGACACGUGAAAUCCUGUCUGAAGAUGGGGGGACCAUCCUCCAAGGCUAAAUACUCGUGAUCGACCGAUAGUGAACCAGUACCGUGAGGGAAAGGCGAAAAGAACCCCGGGAGGGGAGUGAAAUAGAUCCUGAAACCGCAUGCAUACAAACAGUCGGAGCCUCGUAAGGGGUGACGGCGUACCUUUUGUAUAAUGGGUCAGCGACUUACGUUCAGUAGCAAGCUUAACCGUAUAGGGCAGGCGUAGCGAAAGCGAGUCCGAAUAGGGCGUUCAGUUGCUGGGCGUAGACCCGAAACCAGGUGAUCUAUCCAUGGCCAGGAUGAAGGUGCGGUAACACGUACUGGAGGUCCGAACCCACUAACGUUGAAAAGUUAGGGGAUGAGCUGUGGAUAGGGGUGAAAGGCUAAACAAACCUGGAAAUAGCUGGUUCUCUCCGAAAACUAUUUAGGUAGUGCCUCGUGUCUCACCUUCGGGGGUAGAGCACUGUCAUGGUUGGGGGGUCUAUUGCAGAUUACCCCGCCAUAGCAAACUCCGAAUACCGAAGAGUGCAAUCACGGGAGACAGACAUCGGGUGCUAACGUCCGGUGUCAAGAGGGAAACAACCCAGACCGCCAGCUAAGGUCCCCAAAUAUAGCUAAGUGGGAAACGAAGUGGGAAGGCUAAAACAGUCAGGAGGUUGGCUUAGAAGCAGCCACCCUUUAAAGAAAGCGUAAUAGCUCACUGAUCGAGUCGUCCUGCGCGGAAGAUGUAACGGGGCUAAGCUAUAUACCGAAGCUGCGGAUGCGUGCUUAGCACGCAUGGUAGGAGAGCGUUCCGUAAGCCUGCGAAGGUGCCUUGUAAAGGGUGCUGGAGGUAUCGGAAGUGCGAAUGCUGACAUGAGUAGCGAUAAAGGGGGUGAAAGGCCCCCUCGCCGUAAGCCCAAGGUUUCCUACGCAACGUUCAUCGGCGUAGGGUGAGUCGGCCCCUAAGGCGAGGCAGAAAUGCGUAGCUGAUGGGAAGCAGGUCAAUAUUCCUGCACCAUUGUUAGAUGCGAUGGGGGGACGGAUCGCGGAAGGUUGUCCGGGUGUUGGAAGUCCCGGUCGCUGCAUUGGAGAAGGCGCUUAGGCAAAUCCGGGCGCGGAAUUCAAGGGUGUGGCGCGAGCUCCUUAGGGAGCGAAGCAAUUGGAAGUGGUUCCAAGAAAAGCCUCUAAGCUUCAGUCUAAUGAUGACCGUACCGCAAACCGACACAGGUGGGCGAGAUGAGUAUUCUAAGGCGCUUGAGAGAACUCGGGAGAAGGAACUCGGCAAAUUGGUACCGUAACUUCGGGAUAAGGUACGCCCUUGUAGCUUGACUGGCUUGCGCCAGAAGGGUGAAGGGGUUGCAAUAAACUGGUGGCUGCGACUGUUUAAUAAAAACACAGCACUCUGCAAACACGAAAGUGGACGUAUAGGGUGUGACGCCUGCCCGGUGCCGGAAGAUUAAAUGAUGGGGUGCAAGCUCUUGAUUGAAGUCCCGGUAAACGGCGGCCGUAACUAUAACGGUCCUAAGGUAGCGAAAUUCCUUGUCGGGUAAGUUCCGACCUGCACGAAUGGCGUAACGAUGGCCACACUGUCUCCUCCCGAGACUCAGCGAAGUUGAAGUGUUUGUGAUGAUGCAAUCUACCCGCGGCUAGACGGAAAGACCCCAUGAACCUUUACUGUAGCUUUGCAUUGGACUUUGAACCGAUCUGUGUAGGAUAGGUGGGAGGCUAUGAAACCGGAACGCUAGUUUCGGUGGAGCCGUCCUUGAAAUACCACCCUGGUUUGUUUGAGGUUCUAACCUUGGCCCGUGAUCCGGGUCGGGGACAGUGCAUGGUAGGCAGUUUGACUGGGGCGGUCUCCUCCCAAAGCGUAACGGAGGAGUACGAAGGUACGCUAGGUACGGUCGGAAAUCGUGCUGAUAGUGCAAUGGCAUAAGCGUGCUUAACUGCGAGACCGACAAGUCGAGCAGGUGCGAAAGCAGGUCAUAGUGAUCCGGUGGUUCUGUAUGGAAGGGCCAUCGCUCAACGGAUAAAAGGUACUCUGGGGAUAACAGGCUGAUACCGCCCAAGAGUUCAUAUCGACGGCGGUGUUUGGCACCUCGAUGUCGGCUCAUCUCAUCCUGGGGCUGUAGCCGGUCCCAAGGGUAUGGCUGUUCGCCAUUUAAAGAGGUACGUGAGCUGGGUUUAAAACGUCGUGAGACAGUUUGGUCCCUAUCUGCCGUGGGCGUUGGAUAUUUGAAGGGGGCUGCUCCUAGUACGAGAGGACCGGAGUGGACGAACCUCUGGUGUACCGGUUGUCACGCCAGUGGCAUCGCCGGGUAGCUAUGUUCGGAAGAGAUAACCGCUGAAAGCAUCUAAGCGGGAAACUCGCCUUAAGAUGAGAUAUCCCUGGGGACUAGAUCCCCUUGAAGGGUCGUUCGAGACCAGGACGUUGAUAGGUCAGGUGUGUAAGCGCAGUAAUGCGUUCAGCUAACUGAUACUAAUUGCCCGUAAGGCUUGAUCCU